rnacentral:rRNA from 1 species
AUGAAUUUCUAUGCCUCACAGUUAUUUGACAAGAAUAAAGUAUUCCCGCAUCGCCGUAUUCCUCAUGUGGAUAUGGAGUCAAUACCAUGCUUUCGGCCAGUCUUGGUUGUUCUUCAUGAUGCCGGUCUACUGAAUUUCUGCACUGACGUCUCUGAUUGGAAUGAAGAACUCAUUCUUCAAUUUUAUGCAACUGUACACUUCUCAGGCAAUACUAACGACACUGCAACUUGGGCUCUGGACUGGAUGAGUGAAGACACUCACUACAAAGCUGAAUUGCUUCAUGCUCUUCCAGUGGAUCCACCCCAAGAAGGAGCAAAUAAAAUUUAUGAAGAACCUGAGCUUCCUAAUCAUCUGAUGCAAUUGCUGAUGAAGCCUAUGGCUGAAGAAAAUGCUCCAAGGACAACCUUCCUAGUGAAAGAUUUCCUAUAUGUUCCGAAGACUGUCUAUCGCAUUCUGGCAACGACCCUCAAUCCGAUCAAAGGCCACAAUUCAAACACGAGAAGUUUUGGGAGUUAUGAAGAACCUGUUGCUUCAUAUCAUCCAUGUAACUCCUAG